GUCGAGCGGGAUUAAAAGUAGCUUGCUAUUUUUUAUGAGAGCGGCGAACGGGUGAGGAACACGUUGGUACCUGCCCCCAAGUCAGGGAUAGCCUAGGGAAACCUAGAUUAAUACCGGAUGUGCUCUUCGGAGUAAAGAUUUAUCGCUUGGGGAGGGACCUGCGUCCUAUCAGCUAGUUGGUGAGGUAAUAGCUCACCAAGGCUAUGACGGGUAACUGGUCUGAGAGGAUGACCAGUCACAAUGGAACUGAGACACGGUCCAUACUCCUACGGGAGGCAGCAGUGAGGAAUCUUCCACAAUGGGCGAAAGCCUGAUGGAGCGACACCGCGUGAAGGAUGAAGGCCUAACGGUUGUAAACUUCUUUUCUGAGGGAGCAUAAUGAGAGUACCUCAGGAAUAAGGGGCGGCUAAUCACGUGCCAGCAGCCGCGGUAAUACGUGAGUCCCGAGCGUUACCCGGAAUUAUUGGGUGUAAAGGGUUCGUAGGUGGAUUUUUAAGUCAGGUAUGAAAGACCGAAGCUCAACUUCGUGUUUGUAUUUGAAACUGGGAAGUCUAGAAUCAGGAGAGGUAAGCGGAAUUCUCAGUGUAGGGGUGCAAUCCGUAGAUACUGAGAGGAACACCAAAAGCGAAGGCAGCUUACUGGAACUGUAUUGACACUGAGGAACGAAAGCGUGGGGAGCAAAGAGGAUUAGAUACCCUCGUAGUCCACGCCCUAAACGAUGAUAACUAAGUGUUGCACGUAGGUGCAGUGCUAAAGCUAACGCAUUAAGUUAUCCACCUGAGGAGUACGGUCGCAAGAUUAAAACUCAAAGGAAUAGACAGGGACCCACACAAGCAGUGGAUCACGUGGUUUAAUUCGACAAUAAACGGGGAAUCUCACCUAGGCUUGACAUCCCGAGAACCCCCUGGAAACAGAGGGGUGCCCGCAAGGGAGCUCGGUGACGGGUGCUGCAUGGUUGUCGUCAGCUCGUGCCUUGAGGUGUUCGGUUAAGUCCGUUAACGAGCGCAACCCAUGUCCUUAGUUACUAUGUCUAAGGAGACUGCCUUGGUUAACAAGGAGGAAGGUGUGGAUGACGUCAAAUCAGCAUGGCUUUUACGCCUAGGGCUACACACAUGAUACAAUGGUCUGUACAAAGAGCAGCAAUACCGCGAGGUGGAGCCAAUCUUCAAAGCAGAUCUCAGUCCGGAUUGGAGUCUGAAACUCGACUCCAUGAAGUUGGAAUUGCUAGUAAUCGUGAAUCAGAUAUGUCACGGUGAAUAUGUUCCUGGGUCUUGUACUCACCGCCCGUUCACGGCAUGGGAGGUAGUAAUAUCGGAAGCUCCUCUAG
rnacentral:rRNA from 1 species